GGGGUAUUAAAAAGACAGGCCAGAGUUUGAGAUCUACUGCCAACCUCCCUUGCAGAGUUAGGGAACAUUUUACUUGGAAAAAAAAGGUCUUCUCUUCCUGCAGAGAUCCACGGCUGUAUUCUCCUGCAGAGCCUGAGCCCUGCCUGGCAGAGUAGGCAAAAAUACAUCGAACUGCUGUACCCCAGUCUUGACUUCAUACCCAUCUGUGUGGCAUCGUUCAGGAUAUCCCAACGUCUGGCUUCCUCUUCCUUCAAAAAUCCUCUGAUACUUCACUUCAAAGACCCAUCAGCUGAAAUCAUGUUACAAGAUACUGGGAAUGUGCUGAAGCCCUGGCAAAGAAAUUGUAGAUUACAGGUGAACAAGCAGCUGACUGUGGCCAGAGGAAUAAAUCCCUGGACUUGGAGAGAGGGAAAGGCUUUACUGGGAGCGGCUGCUACCGUGUCCACUCUGAGGGGCCACACUUCAACAUGAAGUUAAAAAGGUUGGAGUUCAGAGAAG
rnacentral:lncRNA from 1 species